rnacentral:rRNA from 1 species
GCCAACCAGUCUCAUGGAGGUAGACUGUUGCUGGCUUCUCUUGGAGGAGCAUGUGCACGUUUAUCCUCUUUAUUUUUCCACCUGUGCACCUUUUGUAGGCUUGGAAUUAUUUUAAUAGUGUCUUUCCCAAAGGCAUAAGAAUUUUUUGGGACUGCUGUGUUUAAACGCAUGUUUAUCGGCUUUCCCUUUUAUUUUUCCAAGUCUAUGUUUUUCAUAUACACUCCAGAAAUUUGAUAGAAUGCUGUACUUGUAGGUCAUACCUAUAAUAAAAUCAGUACAACUUUCAGCAACGGAUCUCUUGGCUCUCGCAUCGAUGAAGAACGCAGCGAAAUGCGAUAAGUAAUGUGAAUUGCAGAAUUCAGUGAAUCAUCGAAUCUUUGAACGCAUCUUGCGCUCCUUGGUAUUCCGAGGAGCAUGCCUGUUUGAGUAUCAUUAAAUUAUCAACUGUGCCAAUUAUUUUGGUUUACAGAUUGGAUGUGGGGGGAUUUUGCAGGCUUUUUUAUUGAGUCUGCUCUCCUGAAAUGUAUUAGCAGGGCCUUUGUUGGUUUCCUUGGGGGUGAUAAUUUAUCUACAUCUUUACAUGGUACCUUCAUUUGUAAAGGUCAUAUUGCUUCUAAUUGUCUUUGGACGAAUGACGAAACUUGAUCUCAAAUCAGGCAGGACUACCCGCUGAACUUAAGCAUAUCAAUAAGCGGAGGAAAAGAAACUAACAAGGAUUCCCCUAGUAACUGCGAGUGAAGCGGGAAAAGCUCAAAUUUAAAAUCUGACGGUCGUUUUCGGCUGUCCGAGUUGUAAUCUAGAGAAGUGUCUACCCGCGCUGGACCUGAAAAAACCCUCCGGGG